AGUAUUAGUUACUUGUGUAUAAGUCUGUGAUUUUAUUGAUACGUAGUUUUUACUAACCUGAUAACUUAUUUCGCAUAAUAUAUAUUAUGUUAAAU
rnacentral:ncRNA from 1 species